GAUGAACGCUGGCGGCGUGCCUAAUACAUGCAAGUCGAGCGAACAGACGAGGAGCUUGCUCCUUUGACGUUAGCGGCGGACGGGUGAGUAACACGUGGAUAACCUACCUAUAAGACUGGGAUAACUUCGGGAAACCGGAGCUAAUACCGGAUAACAUGUUGAACCGCAUGGUUCAACAGUGAAAGACGGUCUUGCUGUCACUUAUAGAUGGAUCCGCGCCGCAUUAGCUAGUUGGUAAGGUAACGGCUUACCAAGGCAACGAUGCGUAGCCGACCUGAGAGGUUGAUCGGCCACACUGGAACUGAGACACGGUCCAGACUCCUACGGGAGGCAGCAGUAGGGAAUCUUCCGCAAUUGGCGAAAGCCUGACGGAGCAACGCCGCGUGAGUGAAGAAGGUCUUCGGAUCGUAAAACUCUGUUAUUAGGGAAGAACAAAUGUGUAAGUAACUAUGCACGUCUUGACGGUACCUAAUCAGAAAGCCACGGCUAACUACGUG
rnacentral:rRNA from 1 species